rnacentral:lncRNA from 1 species
UGGCUCCUGGCUGCUGCUGCUGCUACUUCUGCUACUUCUGCUGCCACCGUAAAACGCCAGGAACGGCGCAUGCGGAUUUCGUUGAUCGUCCCCGUUUCACCCUUCCUUCUUCCACUCUAUAUCCUUUCUUUCUUCUCCUUCCUGCUCGCUCUUCUCCAGACCUUCGUCAUUGAGCAGGAAAGCGGACCGAUAAAGGUGAACUGGCAGAAAAUUAACCGAUGGAACUGCUCGCUUUGAAUCCCGUGCUUUCUCACUUUCUCCUCCUCCCCCUCUUCUUCCUUCUCUCCUUCCCCCCUUUGUCUUCUCUUACGACGUUUCUUCGAAAAAGAGGAAAACGUAGUCGCAGAGAGAUGAAAGUAGGAGUCGAAUGAUCGAUAUUUCGAUGAUAAUGUCAAGAUCGAGGAAUCGAACGUUUUGAUUAAUUGACAUACCAGGUAUAAUAAUGUCGUUUAAAUGCAACCGAUGAAACGACUCUUCUGCUUUGUCUCUUUGAAUAUAUAGACAUAACAGUUAGGAAGUCGAGGGUUGGUAACGAGGUGAGAUUGCCAAAGAGUGGUCCAUAGGGGUGAAAGAGGUUGAAAGGUAGCAGGAGAAAAGGAGACUUCACUUGCCGAAAGGAAGGGAUAGUAAACGAGUUAUUGGAAAAUCGUGUGAGGGGUACACCGAGCUAAGCGGCUACCAACGGGAGUGGUAGACGAAAAGAGAAAAAAGGGAAGGUGGAAAAAAAAUGAAGUGAAGGAAUAAGGAGUAGGGGAGGAAAAAGGGGGGAUGGAGGUCAGUAAUUUUUCGGCUCAUUGCACGUAAAAAGCAGGGAGUUUUAUCGUUCGUUUGGAGCAGCCACGCAAUGCGAGACGACGAAAACGACGACGACGACGACGACGACGAUGACGACGACGACGACGACGGACUCGCGACAUCCAGAUACCAGCUUUGAAAGUGACUGAUAGCAUUAGCACCGACUUAUCGGGGACAGGUAGUUAUCAGGUAACAUCCGUCUCUUCGAUGCAUCGACCUACGCGGACUCGAAGAUAUCGAAUAUCAUCUGCUCCUUCUUCUUCUAUAUCGCCCUCUUCACCUCUUCUUUUUCCUGUUUUCGAGGCAAGAAGUCAAUGCCGUCGCUAUAACGAUUCUCCCUUUUAUUUUGCGAACCUUUAUCCUUUUUCAAUGAACGUUUCGAUGAUAGAUCAAUAAAAGAAGAACUAUUACUAUGAGAAUAUCUUCGUCGCCUCAAAAUCAUUUAAGACAUCACGAAUACAAUACCCGACAAUAAAAUAUGAAUUUUUGUUCGGUUUUACUGUAUAUAUAUGCUCCUCAGAUUGAGGACGCUCGAUGAAAAUGAAGAAGGGAAACGAUAAGGGUGAACUCCGUCGUGAUUCGGGUUCAAAGAGCUCAAAAAAAGCAAGGGGUGCUGCA